GGUGCCCCUGUGGAAGUCAGAAGAUGUGGAUCCUUUCUGUUCCUUGCCUGACCUGACAACGAAAGACCUUGUAGUUUUCCCAGCAUGGAGCCAACAACAGGGCGCUGCUGAUCACUACCUCCUCUGCGUUCUACUGGUAAAACAGAGAGAGAUAGUGUUUCUUGACUCCCUUCGACCAGAUGGUUUUGGUGACGAGGCCUACAAAAAUAUAUUUAGGUUCAAGCUAUAUUGAUUCACUGGUUGUGGCCUAUUGCCAGUUCUGUUUCUUUGGAUAUAUGUUCAUAAAA